rnacentral:lncRNA from 13 species
UAUACCAACCCUAAACCUCCCCUACCUAAGCACCAGGUCUUCCAACCCUAAAACUCCCCUACUGAAGCACCAGGCCAAGACCACUCCUUCCUGAUAUGGUGUGGGUUAGCUAGCGUCUCAUACAUUGUUACGGUGAGUGAAUGAGGACCCAAAAGCGAAUUAACUUAAACAGAGCUUCUUUAAUAACCAAACAUAGGUAGGCUCAGAUAGACCGGCAGAUUCCGACAGGACAGGACAAGGUUACAGCAAACAUGACGAUAGUCUGGUUCAGGCAUGAAACACAACAAACAAGAAUCCGACAAAGACAGGAGCAGAAACAGAGAGAGAUAUAGGGACCUAAUCAGAGGGAAAAAGGGAACAGGUGGGAAACACAACAAACAAGAAUCCGACAAAGACAGGAGCAGAAACAGAGAGAGAUAUAGGGACCUAAUCAGAGGGAAAAAGGGAACAGGUGGGAAACGGGGUGAAUGGGUAGUCAGAGGAGACAAGGAACAGCUGGGGGAAAGCGGGGGAGAAAAGGUAACCUAACACGACCAGCAGAGGGAGACAGGGUGAAGGGAAAGGACAGAGACAAGACACAACAUGACAGUACAUGACAUACAUACUGUGGAAAGAGAUUAGCUGACUACAACUACGUCUUCUCAAUGUCUUGUGCUCAUAGGCACAAACAGUGUUUUCACACAUACAGUGAAUUCGGAAAGUAUUCAGACCCCUUCCCUUUUUCCACAUUUUGUUACGUUACAGCCUUAUUCUAAAAUUGAUAAAAUAUACACAACGGUUCAAAAGUUUGGGGUCACUUAGAAAUGACCUUGUUUUUGAAGGAAAAGCACAUUUUUAUGGCCAUUAAAAUAACAUCAAAUUGAUCGGAAAUACAAUGUAAACAUUGUUAAUCUUGUAAAUGACUAUUGUAGCUGGAAACAGAUUUUUUUAAUGGAAUAUCUACAUAGGCGUACAGAGGCCCAUUAUCAGCAACCAUCACUCCUGUGUUCCAAUGGCACGUUGUGUUAGCUCAUUUUUUAUUUAUUUAUUUCACCUUUAUUUAACCAGGUAGGCUAGUUGAGAACAAGUUAGGCUAGUUGAGAACAACUGCGACCUGCCCAAGAUAAAGCAAAAAAGUUCAACACAUACAACAACACAUAGUUACACAUGGAAUAAAUAAACAUACAAUCAAUAAUACAGUAGAAAAAUCUAUAUACAGCAUGUGCAAAUGAGGUAGGAUAAGAGAGGCAAGGCAAUAAAUAGGGCAUGGUGGCAAAGUAAUUACAAUAUUAAUAUUAAACACUGGAAUGGUAGGAUGUACAGAAGAUGAAUGUGCAAGUAUAGAUGCUGGGGUGCAAAGGAGCAAGAUAAAUAAAUACAGUAUGGGGAUGAGGUAGAUUGGAUGGGCUAUUUACAGAUGAGCUAUGUACAGGUGCAGUGAUCUGUGAGCUGCUCUGACAGCUGGUGCUUAAAGCUAGUUAGAGUCUCUAAUCCAAGUUCAUCAUUUUAAAAGGCUAAUUGAUCAUUAGAAAAUCAUUUUGCAAUUAUGUUAGCACAGCUGAAAACUGUUAUGCUGAUUAAAGAAGCAAUAAAACUGGUCUUCUUUAGACUAGUUGAGUAUCUGGAGCAUCAGCAUUUGUGGGUUCGAUUACAGGCUCAAAAUGGCCAGAAGCAAAGAACAUCCUUCUGAAACUCGUCAGUCUAUUCUUGUUCUGAGAAAUGAAGGCUAUUCCAUGCGAGAAAUUGCCAAGAAACUGAAGAUCUCGUACAAUGCUGUGUACUACUCCCUUCACAGAACAGCGCAAACUGCCUCUAACCAGAAUAGAAUGAGGAGUUGGAGGCCCUGGUGCACAACUGAGCAAGAGGAUGAGUACAUUAGAGUGUAGUUUGAGAAACAGACGCCUCACAAGUCCUCAAUUGGCAGCUUCAUUAAAUAGUACCCGCAAAACACCAGUCUCAACAUAAACAGUUGAAGAGGUGACUCC